AUACAUUCAGCAGCUGAUGGGCAUUUGGGUUGCAUCCACUUUUUGGCUGUUCUGAAGAGUGUUACUGUGAACAUUCAUGCACAAAUUUUUAUGUGGAGUUGAGCUGGGACUGGGCAUGGUGGCUCACUCCUGUGAUCCCAGCACUUUGGGAGGCCGAGGUUGGUGGAUCAAAUGAGGUCAGGAGUUUCAGACCAGCCUGGCCAACAUGGUGAAUCCUCGUCUCUACUAAACAUACGAAAAUUAGCUGGGCGUCGUGGCACGCGCCUGUAAUCCCAGCUACUCAGGAGGCUGAGUCAGGAGAAUGGCUUGAACCUGGGAGGUGGAGGUUGCAGUGAGCCAAAGUCGUGCCACUGCACUCCAGCCCAGGCAACAGAGCAAGACUUCAUCUCAAGCAAAAAAA
rnacentral:lncRNA from 1 species